rnacentral:lncRNA from 1 species
GUUAUUGCAUGUUAAUUAUGUUGAUGUAAAAAAAAUAGGUUUAUACUACUUUCUGACAAAACACAAUGCAUUAUGACACCUAAAGAGAUCCUCAUAAAUAAAACCAUUAAAAACAGUCCUGCUUCACUCAAAUGUAUUACCAUUAUACGUUUCAAAAUGUACAUGGUGUAGUUAGAAGGACCAUCCCGACACUCAGGAUUACUUGAGCUGCCCAUUUCUGCAGUAAUAUUACCUUGAUUACAAUUCCAAUGGAAAGCCAACCAUACUUCUCCAU